rnacentral:rRNA from 1 species
CCUACGGGGGGCAGCAGUGGGGAAUAUUACACAAUGGGGGAAACCCUGAUGCAGCGACGCCGCGUGAGUGAAGAAGUAUUUCGGUACGUAAAGCUCUAUCAGCAGGGAAGAAAAUGACGGUACCUGACCAAGAAGCCCCGGCUAACUACGUGCCAGCAGCCGCGGUAAUACGUAGGGGGCAAGCGUUAUCCGGAUUUACUGGGUGUAAAGGGAGCGCAGGCGGUAUGGCAAGUCAGAUGUGAAAACCCAGGGCCCAACCCUGGGACUGCAUUUGAAACUGCCAUACUGGAGUGCCGGAGAGGUAAGUGGAAUUCCUAGUGUAGCGGUGAAAUGCGUAGAUAUUAGGAGGAACACCAGUGGCGAAGGCGGCUUACUGGACGGUAACUGACGCUGAGGCUCGAAAGCGUGGGGAGCAAACAGGAUUAGAUACCCUGGUAGUC